rnacentral:ncRNA from 2 species
GCUGCCUAUCAAGUCGACGGUCCCGUGCGAACGGGUGAAAAGGGAAUGUCGUAUAACUCUGGCUGGGGAAGGUUUUCCCGGGAGUUCAGUCGAUAACUGCCCCCGCAACUGUAGACGGCGAGCGUUGUGUCCUCAGCUACCAAUUGGGUAGCAGCCACUGGCUUCGGUUGGGAAGGCAGACGUAACGUGAUGACCCGUGAGUCAGGAGACCUACCGUCGAGUCCAGAUAUGU